UUACUAUCUUCUCCACCGAGCCGAUUGACAGCUUCAACAAAUCUCUCGUGAAGAUCUGGCGUCCAUUUUAGUCUUGGCUUUGCAUCAGUUGAGAGAAUCAGUCCAGAAUCUCCUGGGUUGUUCCCUCCUCUGAGGAAUGAGUGCCGUUCAGAUGGGAUAGGCAUUCUUGGCGAAGAGAAUGUGUUCUUUUCUCGGUGCUGGUUGUGAUAAUACAUGUCUGCCUUCAGAAGACACAUGUAACGUUAAUCGGUUGUAUGAGACUUAUUAGAGAACAGCUGAACUGGGGCACAAAGGUAGAGCUCAAAUCAGAAGUAUUCAAGGGAUAAAUGAAACCGGGAGUGUAAUAUAUCUGAUAGAACUUCUUGAUACUGUAUUGAGAGAGGUAGCCACAAAGCGAUUCAUGCAAGCAGCUCCAUGGUUGGGUUAACCACAGGUGCAGAUGGACAGAUAGUUAAUGCUCAAGAUGGAGAUAGUCCCGAGACUGUGUCGAACCCGAGUUGCCCUAACCCUACCGCUUUCUACACCAUGUCCAAACAGUCCAAAACCCCAUCUCAUGUACAACCGUCUUGGAAAAAAAGUUACCUUCUUCUAUUAGGGCUAAUUCGAUGCAGAAUUUUUCAGACCUGAGCGUUGUGGGAACUACCGACCUAAUCACUAGAGAGUCCCACGCCAUGAAAUCAGUCAUUCUACAAAAUCUAACAAAUACAAUUAAGAUUUUCCUCAAUCUAUUGAGAUUAGAGAAAGAAAAAACGAAAAAAAUGUGUUUUACCUGAUUUGAAAUCGAGAUUCUGAACUUGGUUCCUCGCCGAUCUUGCGACGAAUCGAUGAUGGAUUUAUCUCCCUCUCUUCUCUAUUCAACUCAACACAGA